GAUUUAGCUCUUCUCUCAGGUCAUCUUUGAGUGGUUUAGGAACUCUUUGGGUUGAAGUGGUGACAGGUUUAAUGCUGUUGUCAACUUCUAAGUGGACUUCUCCAGGUAAUGUUCCUAAUGGUCAGUGAAAUACAUCUGAAUAUCACUUUAUCAGCUCUUCAGCAGUUAUCUGCCAAUUCAUUUCUUCAAGGCGGGGGGCGUGGUCAUAAUGAAGUUUUCAUCAUUAACAGUUAUAAGUUCCAUUCGUUGUGUGGCUCUUACUCCGAUAAAGGGUGUUAGAUCAUUCUUGAUGACAACAAACUCCACAGAGUACUUCUUUCAUGUUUUGGGAUUGCACAUGGUGAUCCCAUGGUGAUUCGUGCCGUCCCGAUGGGUUUGACGUGUGAUCUGCGUGUUUCGCCAGGAUGAUGUUGAUUUAUGAUCCACAGCCAAUCUAAAAGUUGACCUUUUUCUUAUCAAUUAACAUCUCGGCAUAAAUUUCUUUGGCGAACUGGACAGCAUGGACAUCAGUUUCCUGAGAAUCUAGAGCAACUCCAGUGAGAAAUGCGAUGUGGCUUUCUUCUGAUGAGGGUUCCUCUGCCAUUUCAGAGAUCCUGUGAACUUUGCGUGAUUUGGAUUUCUUGCAGACACUCCUGAAGUGGUUCCAGCUACCACAUCCGGAGCAUUUCUGUCCCCAAGCAGGACACUUAUCUUUCUGUAGUACGUUUAGAAAAUAGUCUGCAAAUGGUCUGGAGCAGAUCCAGUGGUGGUUCGGGUGCUUUGGUGAUUCAGAUUGUGUCAGAAUGAAUAGUUUUUUAAAGGAGUGUAGGCUAUGAAUAUUUUGAUAGCAGUGAUAUUGAUUUGAAACAAGUCUAUUACAGCAUCUAGGCUUCCAAGGCAUUUGAUGCAAAUCUGGUAACUUAGACACCUACUAUUCUGAAGAUAGCUAAAAGUCAUAUUGAUAAUUAUAUAAAGUAGAUAAAGCCUAAUAUCAACCUUCAAGAUAAAAGAAUACAAUUGCCAAUUAAUAAAUGUUAAAAAGGCACCAUAAAAAAGUUUCUGUUAAUUAUUGAUAAGGAAUAUUACACUUAUCAUUUAACAAUAUUAAACAAGGGAGUCCUAAUGAACAUGUUUGAGUUAAAAAUUCACUGAAUGUCGUUAUUUUUUUUUAUUUUAUGACAAAGAGCUCUCAGAGCUGAGGGUACAGUUACAAAAUUGAAAGCAGAAGUGAAUGUAUUAAAGACAGAGUCUGUUCCCAUAACAACAUAGAACCAGCUGCUAGAUGCCAAUCAUUAGAAAAUGACUGCUGUCAAAGAUAGGUAGGAAGCUGCUGCUGAUCAAACAUGAACAUAGCAGAAAAAAAUGCCAAGCAAGCACUAAGGUAACUGCUUACUGGAGUGGAUACACUGAAGUUCAUAUCACAAAAACUUGAGUCUAUUGUUUAUUUUUUCUUUGGAUGAUCCUACAGUGGUUUGCAACACUGGUUUGCAACACUCAUUGGAUUUUAUAAAUAUCAGAUUCAAGAAACAAAUUAAAUAUAUUUGCUAAUGGUUGAUAAUGUUAAGAAUUAAGAAAAUCAAUUUUCUUGUAAAUGAAGUUUUAAUGAGUUAAAUGGAGAAUGCUUGUCGUAUAUGAAGUAAUUAGAAGAUGCAGGCAUUCUUGUGAAAUAGGUUGGUAAAGAAAUGUCUUCAUACCUCUUAACACAUUUUUAUCCCUAUUGAUGCAUUGAUAGCCACUAAAAUAUAGGCAAUCUGUUCUGAAGAAACAUCUUAUUGAUGCUAAAAACCAAAUUAAAAAAAUCCCCAUGCCUCUUCUCUUUGAUAAUUCUGUCUUUAAAUAUGUCGACUGUUUUGUAAAAUGAUAUGUACAGCAGUAAAGGGAUGAAUAGAGUUUGUGUUUUAUCCUUUUGGGCCAAUGAACAUAUAAAGCAGUCCUAGGAAUAAAAAUCAUACAGGGAGGGAUAAUACUGAAAUGAGAUCAAAAUUUACACAAUAGUAAAAUUCAAUUUAAAUUUAACCACUCUAACUGCCACAGCUUUGAGAUUCGUUUUGGCCUUUUUUUGUAAACAAUGGAUUUGACGUGUUUUGCCUUUUGUAUACUGACUUACACUAUAAUGCUUUUCUUGAAAUAGAAGCCUCUAACAACUAGUCAAAAACAAAUGUACCAUAGCUGAUCUACUUCCUUCUUGUCACCUUUCUGAUUUUCAGAAUAUUGUAUUGCAAGGAGAAAUUACCCAUCGUUGAUUUGUGGGAGUGAAAGGGUUAAUAUUCUGGGAAGAAAAUGAAGCUAAAUUAAUCUAUGAUGUCCAGCUUCAAAGAACACACCUGAUUCUAUGCUCCAAAAUACUUUUGGAUCAGAUUGAAAGAUUAUUAGGAUAAAGAUGUUUGAACACAGAUAUUGCAAUCACUUCCUUCUUCAGUCAAAUUGUAUAGAGAGUUUAGUAUUCUUUCAAAAAUUUGGAAAGUUACAUUUAAAUUCUAAAGUCCUGUAAAACUCAUGAAAACUGGGAAUAAACGCAUUAAAAAAAAUUGGAAGAAAUCUCGAGGAUUAUGUUUUUCCAAAGCCCCAAUAAGUGGAAAUCUUUGUGAGGCCCCGCUGCCCCCACUUCCCAAUUUUUUUGUCUUGGGGACUCGUCUCUUUUCUCUGAUUUUUCUGUUAUUUAAUUUGUGUGUGCUGAGGUCGAUUGGUCUCAUAAACCUUGCUUUAAAAAAUGUAAAUAAGUUUUCUUAAAGUGGCCAGGAACCUACUGAAGGGAUUUUUGAUUUAAAAUAGGGAAAUGGUUUUUUUUGAGAGGGGCUUCAUACCCUCACCUUGAGACAGUUUCUCUGGUAAAUUGAUAAAUUUGAUUGAUUUUGAAAAGGCCAUACCCGUCUCCCAUAGCUUCCAAGCUGUUUCUAAAUAUCAGGGCUAAAUAUAUCACAACACAAAGUUCAACUCACUUUACAAUGUUUAUUCUACAAUGAUAAAUGUGGGACUGGUUCUAUUUACAAGUACUGGCAGGUUAAACUUUAGCUCUGAUAAAGUCUGAUGCAUCCAUCAUCUGAUUUAGCAGUAAAGCUAAUUGUCAUUUCAUUAUAUCAUAUAAGUAACACGCUAUAAAUGCGUAAAAAAUUGACAAUAUUUACAACAAAAGUAGAAAUCUCCAAAAAAUUGUUUCAAUUACUACUGCCACUACCCUAGCCUUUUAUCUUUGAAUGCGGGACACUGAUUUACAAUCUGGUUAUAUAUUUUUUCCCUAGUUUUUUGCAAGGAGUGAAACAAGUUGAACCGGUUCCCUUCAAUCAAAAAAAAAAAAAAAAAAUUGAUAAAAAAAAAAUCUUGAUAUUGUACCAUGUAAUCUCUGCUGUAUAAACUUAUGUGAUCCGCUUAUAAUUUUCAAAGGAACUUCGAUAACUUAAACAGAAAACUACUCCUCGUAACAAACAGAAGUGAUCAAAACAUACACGAGCAUGAUUGAAUUUAGGAUCGAAACUAACCAAUCAUGAAAGGUCCGAGACUUGACUGUUCUUUCUGCCGUAAGCUUUGUGUUUUUACUUUAAUGUUAUUGGUUCAUUUCUCAAAAAAAA